UGGCAUUGGGGGGGGCUCUGGGCACUGUGGGAGAGUUGUUUGGAACUGGGAGCCUGAUGUCAUUGUGGGGGGCUGCUGGCACUAUGCAGGGCUGCUGUCUCUCGCGGUGUUUAUGUAACUUGGGGGGAUUAUGGCUUCUGUCGGAUUAAUUUUUUUAAUUAUUUUAUUAUUAGGGUCGUACAAAAAAAGAAAAAAAGAGAUCUGCGGUGGGGAAGCCAAUAUCGAUAUUUUAAAAAAUGUCAUCUAAGAAGACAUCAGACAUCGACUGGCGUAACCCACCCAGAAGGCGCCGCCAUAUCCAGUGGCCCGUAAGUAUAAAAUCAACACUUGGACUUUUUACUGUUUGAUUUGUUGCAUUAAUCAGUAUGUGCUCUUAUUAUAGAUUUCUUCAUCAUCUUCAGAGGAGGGCUCUCCCGAAGUGGGCGGUGCUGCCGGGGCCAGCUCACCAGCAUCCAGGGGAGGUGGACCAAGCCCGGACCGGGGCUGUCAAGAACAAUCUGCACCUAGAGCCGCCAGCGAGGAUCCCCCAGUCGCCUCCAGAGUCCGCGGGAAUGAGCGUGGCGGUCGUAGACGUGGUUCCCUAGGCUCCACCAGGGAGGAUGAGGAGUUCGGGUUUCCGAGCAUCAAUAACCUGCUCCUCAUCCGACUGGUGGAGGCGCGUCCAGCGUUAUGGGACCACGCCGACCGCCACCACGCCGAUUAUCGCCAUACCCAGCGGCUCUGGAGGGACAUCUCUGCAGAACUUUUAGA